UGGGGGAUAUUGCACAAUGGGCGAAAGCCUGAUGCAGCGACGCCGCGUGGGGGAUGAAGGCUUUCGGGUUGUAAACCUCUUUCGCUAUCGAACAAGGCCCGCCUAGGGUGGGUUGAGGGUAGGUGGAGAAGAAGCGCCGGCUAACUACGUGCCAGCAGCCGCGGUAAUACGUAGGGCGCGAGCGUUGUCCGGAAUUAUUGGGCGUAAAGGGCUUGUAGGCGGCUUGUUGCGCCUGCUGUGAAAACGCGGGGCUUAACUUCGCGCGUGCAGUGGGUACGGGCAGGCUUGAGUGUGGUAGGGGUGACUGGAAUUCCAGGUGUAGCGGUGGAAUGCGCAGAUAUCUGGAGGAACACCGAUGGCGAAGGCAGGUCACUGGGCCAUUACUGACGCUGAGGAGCGAAAGCAUGGGUAGCGAACAGG
rnacentral:rRNA from 2 species